UGCCCAGCAACUCCUAUCCCUAUCUCCUCGCGAUACCGGCCGGAGACUAUGAGCAACCUCAAGGAAGAUCGGGUAACCAACCCCGGUGGGAACUUUGGUCGUAGGCUGACAGGGAAGG
rnacentral:ribozyme from 1 species